rnacentral:misc_RNA from 1 species
CGAUAUAGACGAUAGCUU